UACGGGGGGGGGCAAGCGUUGUUCGGAAUUACUGGGCGUAAAGGGCUCGUAGGUGGCCAACUAAGUCGGACGUGAAAUCCCUCGGCUUAACCGGGGAACUGCGUCCGAUACUGGAUGGCUUGAGUUUGGGAGAGGGAUGCGGAAUUCCAGGUGUAGCGGUGAAAUGCGUAGAUAUCUGGAGGAACACCGGUGGCGAAGGCGGCAUCCUGGACCAACACUGACACUGAGGAGCGAAAGCCAGGGGAGCAAACGGGG
rnacentral:rRNA from 1 species